rnacentral:lncRNA from 1 species
AGGAACAGAAAACGAAGCUACGUGCUGCUUGAUUGGGAGAUGACGCUGCAGGAGACGGAGUUGAGAGGAGCCCGAGAUUGAAGAGGAGCUGGUGUUCGUGCGGAAGGGCCAGGUGCCAAAGCUAGCUGAGGCGCACGCAGCUCGAGGACGCUUGGGAAUUUGGCUGCUGCUUCUUCGAGAGCUCGAGCUCUAUCGCGCUGAGCCAGAGCUCGUCGGGGUGCCCAUCUCCGGCACCAGCGGCAGAACGGCAGCCUCAGCUCCUACACCUCGGACGACGCGCAGGAUGCUCCUGCUUGUGCGCAAGAUCCGGUGGAUCUAGCAUCUUCGUGUUGCAGCGGCGGUGUGGAGCAGCGGCAACAAGGUGCGCCGGAGCUCGAAUUCUCCCCAUCUCGUGAAAUGUCUUGCCGCCAAAAAUAUAGGUGGAUAGGUAGGUGGAUAGGGAGAGAUGUAAAUUUUCUUCAUUUAGGUGAGAGGAAAGUGUGUUUUAGUAAUUAUACAAAAAAUUAUAACAGGGAUUGGAUUGGCAAUCUAUUGGAGCAAUUUCAUUACCAAAACGGUAGUUUUCUGGUGCUAGGGAUGGGGAGAGGAAUAAGUAAUCCGUUG